ensembl:lncRNA
CAAAGUUUAUAUUUGAAUCUUAUUUAUUUUUAUUUGUAAGAAAUGAGAGAGGCCCUGCCCUCUGGGCCUCUGUCAGAUCAUAAAACCUAAAAGCAGAGUCAGAUUUCAUUGUAGCAGCAGCUAGACCUGUACAGCAAAGCAGAAGAAAACAAAGCUCUGCUCUUACUGGAUGAGUUUCUAUGUGAAGCCUUUAAAUCCUGGAGACCAUUUAGCAAAAAUUAGCUUAAAAGGACAGUAAUUUUUCAAUAAAAUGUUUUCAAUUAUUUUAGUUAUUUUAGUUUAAUGUUUCUAUGAAAGUAAAUCGUCUGUGAGAGUAAAUGAAGAAAAGAGAGAAGAAGAGAGAAUUAGAAAGUAGAAGAGGGGUGAAGAAAAGCGAAGAGCAGAGAAAAGAGAAGAGAAGAGAAGAGAAGAGAAGAGAAGAGAAGAGAAGAGAAGAGAAGAGAAGAGAAGAGAAGAGAAGAGAAGAGAAGAGAAGAGAAGAGAAGAGAAGAGAAGAGAAGAGAAGAGAAGAGAAGAGAAGAGAAGAGAAGAGAAGAGAAGAGAAGAGAAGAGAAGAGAAGAGAAGAGAAGAGAAGAGAAGAGAAGAGAAGAGAAGAGAAGAGAAGAGAAGAGAACUUACUGGUGAUAUUGAGAUCUCCUAUCCUUCGAAGGGAUGAGACUACAUCCUUUGGCAAAUCCUGCAUGAUAUUCUAGCUGCCAGAAGAUCAGGUUUGCAACAGCUCCUCUUCAGUUCUAGCUGCAGCCAGCAUGGCUUUCCAACUUGUGGAUUUCCUUCUGCCACAGUUUUUAAUGUGGUCCAUAAAUAUAAGCCCUGCUCUGGAGAUUUGGCACAACUGAUCAUGCUCUCUCUACUGCCUUCCUGUCUUGCUGCAAGAGCAAAGUAAACUCAAGGCUGAAUGAGGAUCCACAUCCUGCAGUUGGUCUUUGCUUGUUGUAGCUGCACUGAAAAUGGUUUUAAAUACUGCAUGCUGUUCUCUUACAUUUUUACCAGUUCUGAGUGUCCAUUGCUUGAUAAGCCUUUGUGGUCUCCUUGGGGGUUGACAGAAAUAACUUUUGACAGAGGAUCAAUGUGAACAGAUGAGAACUUGUGCUGAUCAGAAGGUGCACAGGUGCUUACCCAGAGGGAUGAUCACACAGAGGUCUCUAUCAGAUGGAUAUCACAGACUGCAAUUAUGUGGGAGGGAGGACAUUGAAAGUCCUGCCUCAUCUUGCUACACGUUGUUAAGGUGUUUUGGUUUUCAUUGCAUUUUCAUUUCUAGGGAGAACAUAGUUGAAGCAGUGUUGCUUUUGCCUGAUGAUGGACCAUGUACUGAAAGACAAAGAUCCUGCGUCUGUGACAUUGAAACUAGAUGAUCAUUAUUGUCCUUUUCAACUCAGGCCAUUCUAUGAUUCUGUGACAUCCUAAAAACAUGUAAGUUAAUCAUAAAUAUGCCGGUGGGUCUUAGAAAUUCAUUCAAAAUUUGAAUGACCUGUUUUUAUUUACCAAUUCACACGGUCUUUCUGCUCACCACUGCCAUGACAACCUACUCCAAAAUGCAGAUUCCUGUGUCAUUUCUACUGCUCCCAAAUGCAUAUGUCUGCCAUGCAGUGAAGUCCACACCAAAGACACCUCUAUGGAGCCAUAUGGGCAUGUUGCUAUAUUUGUCUAUAUAAUAUAUGGAUAUUAUGUGAUUCAAUAAAUGUAGUUUAACUUUUGGGUCACGGAGCCAGGACUUGGAUUUGAUGAUCCUUGUAUGUCCCUUUCAAAUCAGGAUAUUCUGUGACUCUAGAAGUCCCAACUCCUCAUUUUCUGUUGAUGCCACCUGCAAGGACAUGCUAGAAAUGAGGAGAAGUGGUGAGCCCAUGGAAAUCUCUGAUGUUCACAUGUGAAGUAUCUCUUCACCAGACUACAGGGGACUGAGGAAGACAAGGUGGAAGACAGCAAAAUUCAUGGUGGGAGGAAGGCAACCUUGAUCCCAAAGGCUAUUUGAAUAGUAACAUAAUGAAGUGAUAAUUUAUGGCUCGGUUCUACUCUACCUCGCACCUUGUGUGGUCCUCUGCUGUCAGACACUCUCUGAGCUGAGUUCCCCACUCUCCCUGUUAACAGCUUCCCAGUGUGUGAGAGCACAGAUUUAUUGUGGGGGAAAUUGCCUUUCAACUGACUGGCUCCAGGUCCUCCAAGGUUUUAGAGCAGUGUUGCUCCAGAGAGAUGGGUCCAGUAUCAGUUUCGGCUUUAAAUAUUUCAUUAGAGCUUUUAAAAUAAACUCACCUAAAACCAAGCAAACAUCACUGAAGCUAAGCUUUUUAUUAAUAAAGUACUGAAUUAACCCAAGAAAAGAAUACUUGAACUAUCAAAUGAAGUGCUGGGCCAAGGCUGUUUCAGCACUGAACUGGAAGUGAAUCAUCAGUUCUGCUACAAGUGUAGUCACCUGUUUUAUACAUAAGAGAGAGUUUAAGGAGUUCACUGAUUUAAAUUGUUAGUGAGGAAUUUCACAACUGUCAUUCAAAUCCAUGUGUAAAAAUCUGACCUCAAAUACCUCAAAUAGCUCGUGUCUGAAAUGUAAGAACUACAGACUUAGACCCCAGUUCCUAAGUUCCCAUCUCACUUUGCCCUUUCUUCUAUCAGAAACUCCAUCAUUCAGACAUUAAUGGAACAUGGUAUAACAAGUGGUUUAGAACCUUUAUUUAUCAGGAUUUCAAUGACCGCUCAAAACCCGGUGACUUCUAAACACAGAUAUUUCUCUGAAUGUCUUUGUUGGCUUUAUUUGGGGUUUUUUGGACCUGAAGGAUUUUUCUAUCCAACCAUCUCCCAUGGUUGGAUCCCAUCUUCAUUACUCUCCUCGUUCUCCCGGUGGUGUGUCUGGAGCUGCCAACAAGCAGACGAUUGCAGCGAUGGCAAUGCUUUGCUGACAGCUCCUCACUGUUAGGUCAUUUAGGACAUAGCAUGACCGUACAGAGAGGCUUCCAAGACACAAGACUUCCCUCAGGUGAAUUGGUUCAUGAGGUGAAACUUCUUAGCAAUGCACAGGCUGCUUAAAAUUUGUGAUUUCUAUUUUCUAUGUCAUGCAGCAUGUGUUGCUCAAGUUUUGGGGUAUGUCAACUAUCUGGAGCCAUUUAGAUGACAGUGGGAGGGAUUUUGGAUACUGCCAUCUCUGUUCUACUGCCGGGAAUCCUGCUGCCCAGGUGGAGGAGCUGAGGUUUGAUAUUUCCUUAAGUACAAUAGCUAAACAAAUGGUAAGGUGAAGAGAGGCUGUUGUUUCACCAGCUGAUUUAUCAGGCAUUGUUUUUUUGGCAGCAGAGGGCUGCUUCUGGCUGCUCUGACCAUGACUCAUGGGGAUGGGUUGCAGUUGAUGCACAAGAGGAUUUUGGUACUGUACUUGUUGAGGUCAGGAAACUACUUGGACAAUUUUUAGCCAUUCAGACCUGGAGAUGAGUGUGUUGACACAUGGGGGAUAAAGUAAAAAUUGAGGGAAGCCAUAAGGGCGUUUGCCAGACAUGACUUCUGUGAUUCUCCCAGGACAGGAGCUUGCAAAUGUACUUACCACCUAUCUAAUGCUGGCUUUUGCUCCUCGGUUGCUGCUCACAGCAUGGGAAUGUGCAUGGCCAGUAUUGACCUUCAUCCCAUUUUUUCAUGGAUGCAAUGAGGAAGUCUGUGAGUGUGCACUGUGCUGCACUGAUAUCUUAUAGCUCAGCAGCAUCUGAGAGUUUCUGGGAUUUCUCAGAGAAGUUAGAAGCAUUGCAUGGAGGAUGCCCCCAGUUUGGGUAAUGGCCAUUCCAGCAGGAACAGUUUAUCUAUAUGAUGAGAUGACACAAUAUUGAUGUGAUAAGGGUUGGAAAAGGGCCAGGGUUGCAGACUGUACACCUUCUAUCCAAAAAUAUACCAGGAAAUGGCUGCUCUUCAGAUCACUUCAGGACAUGGACAGAGUUGUGGUACUUACAGUUAUUCUGGAAGACGAUAAGAUUUUCAUUGUUUUCUAUGUAUCUUUAAACAGAAAGUUUAGAGGAGUAUGUCAGUCUCGCCUGUUUCUGGAAGACAAAGAGAUAAGAAGGAAUGCCUUGUGCUAAUUAUGGCUGUUUCCCAUCUGUUUCCUUUUGAAAUAAUAGCUUCAUGGAGAAGGCUAUGUAGUAUCAGGGGAGAUUCUCGAGAACAGCUUGGAGCAGACACAUUGUGGACGGGUGUAAAUAUGCCCCACAUGAUGACAGGAAGGUCAGGAGUGCACUGUGCCUCUGCUUUGAAAUGUGCUGAAAUAAAAAAAAAAAGAACAAGUAGUCUUGGAGGAUAUAAAAUAUCCCUGCAGGGGGAAAAUACGGGGUUGGACCGAGUGACCUCCAGAAGUCCCUUCCAACCUCAACCAUUCAGUGAGUCUGUAGUUUUAUAAGUGUUAGACAGCACUCUGGUGGCGUAUUUUUCCAUCUCACUUGCAUAAAUUCAUGUACCGGAAUUAAUAAAAAAAGCCGUGAAAUAAAUGCACUUAGCCUUUAGAAAUAAAAAAGAAAAACAAAACUACGUGUAUAAAAGUAAGGUUGUUGUAAUCUGGCCAUGGAUCAAUGCAGCCAGAUGGCAUAAUCUCAUCACAGAAGCCAUGAGUAGAAUAGUUCUCCUUUUCCAUUUUCAGUGGAGGUGAAUGCUGGGAAGAUCCUCAGAUUGUUUUGAUCCCAUAGAAUCAUAGAAUCGUAGAAUCCUUAAAAUUGGAAGGGACCUUUAAAGGUCAUCUACUCCAACUCCCCUGCAAUGAACAGGGACACGCACAGCCAGAUCAGGUUGCCCAGGGCCUUUAUAUGCAUAUAUAUCUAUAUAUAGUAUCAUUAGAUUUGGGGGGUAUUUAGAUAAAAAAUGUUAGUAUCAUUAAAUAGCAUUGUUUGCAUUCUCCAGAAGACUAGAACUGCAGAAAUUAUUCUGCCCAGCAGCAAGAUUUUUUCUGCUACAUUCUUCUGAAUUGUCUUUACCAUACAUCUGCAAAACUACCUGUUUCUUUCUAACCCCCUGAAAAUUCUAUAGGAAACUGUCCUGUUGGACUUUUCUUGGAACAACUGUGGGUUUCUCUGGACCAGGCCAUUUCUUGGCCUCCUGAUUUUUCUUGUAUGCUCAAGUCACCCUCUUUGCAUGUGCUGGCUCCCUCAUUUGUGUUGGCCAAGGUGUGGAAGAUGCUGAGGAAAGUCAGAAAAUCCACAGCUGCUCCUGUUCCUGACCCGUCUUCAGGCCAAGUAUGAUGAUAAGAUUGCAUUUCCUCGGUUUCUGAAUGCUGUUUCCAUCAUCUCCUGGAACAGGCUGCCCAGGGAAGAGGUGGAGUCACCAUCUCUGGAGGUGUUCAAGGAAUGCAGAGAUGCAGCACUGAGGGACAUGGUUUUGAGGCUUCAAAGAUCAACUCUGCCCUCAGACAUUCCCAAGAAACCAAGAUGAACCCAGCCAAACCAAGAGCUGCCACCAAGACUGAGAAGAAGCCUUCAGUUCAGAAAUGGGAAAUACUCUCCUCAAAAGGCAAGUGGGGAAGCUCAGCCUGCCAGAUGGCAGAACCCCCUUAACCGCUCACCCCGAGCCAAAAUUUGCAACAGCAGUGUUUGCAAAUGAGAGGCCCCUGGUCUCAAAUGCGUGUGAACUCCAUGUGCAAUUGUGCCACUGAAUUUUGUGGGGGUCAGUGGCAGUCGAACUCAUGUAAUAAAGGCUAGAAACUGGCUCUGAAACUCAGUCCUCCCUCUGCUGUGCUCUCAGAUAUCUGGCCAGACACCACUGCUUUCUUGUGCUACAUCCAUGCAAAAAUAUUUUGGACAAGAUGGAAAUGACUAUUGUCAGAGGCAAGAGCUAAUCUGUGAAGGAAAGUGUCAAAAAAUCCCCAGCACAGAGCAUGGGGAAUACACAUAGUCCUUAUAGUUUUGAAAGAGAUGUACAGACUCUGCAGUCAACAGUUCAUGAGCUCCAUCACUUUGAAUGACUGAUAGACUGGUUGGCUAAGGAAAGCCUGGAUCAGGGCUCAGAUCCACACCUCUCAGUGUAUUGCAAGACCCAUGCUCAGGGCAGAUCUCCCUGGAAUUCACCAUACCAAUGGAGAUUUUAUAUUCAUUUGACAGUUUUUGUAUUUCUCUCGUUGCACGAAGGGCACUCAUGUCAUGGAUCUGCAGAUGAUCAAGUGAAAAUGAAAGUUCAUGUUGCAACUCACACCAUUUGCUCUGCUGGUGGAGUCACCCAGCGGCAGCAGGUCUGGGAGCCUGGCAUCCUGCAUAGAAAUCAGUGAAGGUCACCAGAGCAGUGUCAUCUUCAGGUCUUAGGACUUUUUGGUUAAAAACAGCUUAAAGCCACUGUUGACCUGUGCUGUGUUUGAGUCAGUGACCAAGAGAUGAAAGACUUUCUAUCCUAUUUCUAGUCCUUUGACUUGCUCUGCUGUAACAAUAAAUAUCCCCCAAAUAUCUUGGAACUCCCAGAAAUAUAGCCUUAAAAUAAACUUAUAUCACAGGCUAGUAAUUACUGAAUGUUUUGCAUUGUUUCUCCUCUGGGAGAUAUAUAUCCCUCAGGAAAUGAGUUUCUAAUUGGGCAGAAUAGGAGAAACAGGGCAGCAACAACAGUGUGGGAAAGCUAAAUUAAUAAAAGCUUCUAGAUACCCUCUGGCCACCCUGCACAGAGAAAUGACAAAUGACAUACCUGGAUGAGGGCAUUUUAACUUUGGGACUCCUUGGGAGGUGCCUGAACCAGGAAGAGAGGAAGAGAGGAUAGAAGCAAAAAUGCUAUUAGAGACCUGGUAAAAAUUUACAUGAAGUGGUGCACAGCGAUGCUUACAAAAAAAAAACCAAACCAGAACAACAAAAAACCCUUGACCAUGUUACUGACAGUACCUGUGAAGAAACUCAGCUCCUAAUUUUUUUGCUUAGAUUAAGAAAAUACAUAUACUCAUCCUCUUUCCUGAGGUGCUAACCAGCUUAUUUCAGGUUCAACAUUCCUUUUAUGUACAGAGUACUGGGAGUCUGGAUCCUGUUGACAGUGCCUACCCAUUCAUAGAAAGGUUGGGCUGAGCCAUUCUCAAGCACUCUAUGGCUCAAAGAGACCAACACCAAUGAGGCUGCAGGGAGCCUUUUUGAUGUGAAUUCGUGUGAUGGUUCAUCAUUCCAACUGCAGUCCCUAUGUU